ACAGGGGACCAAGCCUACCCCGGGGAUGGAAAAAUCCGGCUGAGACGGCCUGGGCCGCUGCCACGCGCGGGCGUUAUUCUCCACCCACCUGCGGCCUGAAGAUGCCUGAGGCCCGGACUCUCAGACCCCUAUUGCCCUUUGGUGCUGGAGGCCCAGCGGCAGCCUGAAGCCCAAGAGAGUGGAGCCUCGCGAAAUGAGGAACCUGGCACAAGGUGUUCUGGACUUGGAAGAUUUGUUGAAUUACUAUGAAGUCACAUCUAAAGUUUGAAAGAGAUCGGGUCUCACUAUUUUGCCCACGCUGGUCUUGAACUCCUGUCCUCAAGCAGGAUAUCCUCCUGCCUUGGCCUCCCAAAGUUCUGGGAUUAC
rnacentral:lncRNA from 1 species